CCUACGGGUGGCUGCAGUGAGGAAUAUUGGUCAAUGGGCGCUAGCCUGAACCAGCCAAGUAGCGUGAAGGAUGACUGCCCUACGGGUUGUAAACUUCUUUUAUAAAGGAAUAAAGUGAGGCACGUGUGCCUCUUUGUAUGUACUUUAUGAAUAAGGAUCGGCUAACUCCGUGCCAGCAGCCGCGGUAAUACGGAGGAUCCGAGCGUUAUCCGGAUUUAUUGGGUUUAAAGGGAGCGUAGAUGGGUUGUUAAGUCAGUUGUGAAAGUUUGCGGCUCAACAGUAAAAUUGCAAUUGCUACUGGCAGCCUUGAGUACAGUUGAGGUAGGCGGAAUUCGUGGUGUAGCGGUGAAAUGCUUAGAUAUCACGAAGAACUCCGAUUGCGAAGGCAGCUUACUAAACUGUCACUGACACUGAUGCUCGAAAGUGUGGGUAUCAAACAGGAUUAGAUACCCCUGUAGUC
rnacentral:rRNA from 1 species